GACGAACGCUGGCGGCGUGCUUAACACAUGCAAGUCGAACGGAAAGGCCCUGCAUUUGUGGGGUGCUCGCGUGGCGAACGGGUGAGUAACACGUGAGUAACCUGCCCUUGAUUUUGGGAUAACUUCAGGAAACUGGGGCUAUUAUCGGAUAGGAGCUCCUGCUGCAUGGUGGGGGAUGGAAAGAUUCGGCGGUUGGGGAUGGACUCGCGGCUUAUCAGCUUGUUGGUGGGGUAGUGGCUUACCAAGGCUUUGACGGGUAGCCGGCCUGAGAGGGUGACCGGCCACAUUGGGACUGAGAUACGGCCCAGACUCCUACGGGAGGCAGCAGUGGGGAAUAUUGCACAAUGGGCGGAAGCCUGAGGCAGCAACGCCGCGUGCGGGAUGACGGCCUUCGGGUUGUAAACCGAUUUCGCCUGUGACGAAGCGUGAGUGACGGUAAUGGGUAAAGAAGCACCGGCUAACUACGUG
rnacentral:rRNA from 1 species